rnacentral:lncRNA from 1 species
AAAAAUUUCUAAUAAAUUUUUGAACUUUCUUCCUUUUUGAAGCUUUUGCAUUAAGAGACACUCUAAUUGUUUUUUUUUAAACGCUAAUGGCAAUUUUGCUUUGACGAAUUCAUCAUCGAAAUCAAUCAAUUUGCCUUUCCUUUUUGUAGAUUUGACAGGUAUGGAAGAUUCACCAUUAUCAAUAUCAUGCUUUAUCUUUAUUCGAGCUUAUGCCCCAGCUUCACGAGGGUAAAGCUCGGGCUUGUUCUCUUCUUUUGCAUGAGUUGAUUUUGAAGCUUUUU